UUCCUUAUCCCAGAUAGCUCCAGUCUCUGCUUUCGUUUCACAUGUAUCCCAUCAUCUACAAUUUCUCCCUAACUCCCCUAAGAACUGAACAGAAUAUAACUUCACACAGGAAAAUCCAUGGAACUGGAGAUGAUCAUGUUAAAUCAUCAUACGUGGAAUUCUAUAAAGACAAGGAAGUAGAGGGGAAGCGUCUUGGGAAGACAGCAAGAGCGGACAAUGCAGGUGAAUCUGAGCAAAGCCCAUUGCAUCUAUGAAUAAAAAUGUCACAGUGCAUUCAUUAUUUGUAUAAUACAU
rnacentral:lncRNA from 1 species